rnacentral:rRNA from 1 species
AGAACGAACGCUGGCGGCAUGCCUAACACAUGCAAGUCGAACGAGACCUUCGGGUCUAGUGGCGCACGGGUGCGUAACGCGUGGGAAUCUGCCCUUGGGUACGGAAUAACAGUUAGAAAUGACUGCUAAUACCGUAUAAUGACUUCGGUCCAAAGAUUUAUCGCCCAGGGAUGAGCCCGCGUAGGAUUAGCUUGUUGGUGAGGUAAAGGCUCACCAAGGCGACGAUCCUUAGCUGGUCUGAGAGGAUGAUCAGCCACACUGGGACUGAGACACGGCCCAGACUCCUACGGGAGGCAGCAGUGGGGAAUAUUGGACAAUGGGCGAAAGCCUGAUCCAGCAAUGCCGCGUGAGUGAUGAAGGCCUUAGGUUGUAAAGCUCUUUACCGGGAUGAUAAUGACAGUACCGGAGAAUAAGCGUCCGCUAACUCCGUGCCAGCAGCCGC